rnacentral:rRNA from 1 species
UACGUAGGGUGCAAGCGUUGUUCGGAUUCACUGGGCGUAAAGGGUGCGUAGGUGGCUUGGUAAGUUUGAUGUGAAAUCUCCGGGCUUAACCCGGAAAUGGCAUUGAAUACUAUUGAGCUGGAGGUUUGGAGGGGGACUGGAAUUCUCGGUGUAGCAGUGAAAUGCGUAGAUAUCGAGAGGAACACCAGUGGCGAAGGCGAGUCCCUGGACAACACCUGACACUGAGGCACGAAAGCUAGGGGAGCAAACAGG